AGCAAAUUGGCGCAGCGCGAUGGGCUCAUAACCCAUAGGUCCUAGGAUCGAAACCUAGAUUUGCUA
rnacentral:tRNA from 1 species